rnacentral:tRNA from 1 species
ACUCCCUUAGUAUAAGCAAUAUAACUGACUUCCAAUUAGUAGAUUCUGAAAAAACUCAGAAAGGAGUA